AUUAGUUGAGUAGGAAAACCAAAUUUACUGUUUUCCUCCUCAAAGCAAAGAAAACAAAGACAGUUUGUCGAAGAUAAGAAAGAGGGCUUAAUAAUUAGAUGGAAAGAGAGUGAGAGAAAAGGUGAAGAAAGAUGCUCCCGCUAAAGCUGGUACGCUCUCUAGUCUUUGGAGAAACCAUCAACAACAACCCACUCCUUCUCCCCCCAAAUCAACAUGACGAAGAUCCCCACCACAACAAUGACGAUGGCUACGAUGCUGACUCUAAUGCCAAAGAUGGCCAUCACAAACCAACAGAAGGAAGAAGCAAAACCAGCAAAUCGAGAACCCCAUUUCUCCUCUUCCUCCCAACCAAAGAGCUUGUCGCAGACACAUACAGACUGGCCACCAUAGCCAGAGACAUGGGCAUGGAUUUGCACCCAACCCCAUCUCUCUCCCACAUCAUUCUUUCAUACCCACCACCACCAUCAUCAUCGUCAUCAUCUCCAUCUUCAUCAUCACCAUCAACAUAUUCAUGGUCAUCGUCAUCACUCUCAUCAACAUCUUUGCCCGACGACACUGUUCCCCUCCCUUUCCCUUCUCUCUCCACAGCCUCCAUUUCCCAUCUUCGCGCCUUUGUCAAGCUCUCCAAAGGCCUGUUCAAGCUGGUAUUUGUGCUCUCCAAUUGUAAAGCCACUGAGGCAACUAGUGAAAGCAAUUGGAAUUGCUCAUCAAUGUCGCUGUUUUCGCGGCUCACCGGAGACCGAAUUGACACAAUGGAAGGGUUUUCUCGGGCUUUGGCCGGACUGGGGUGGACCCUUUUCAAGACUAAAGAAAACCCAUCAGCGGAUUCGGGCCAUAGGCGAGUUUGCGGUGGCAAAUCGGUGUAUCUGUUUCGGAAGGUCGAUACAAACAGAGUUAGGGCUUGCACUGCUGGGGAGUGUAGGGUUCGGGAGUUGAGAUUGCCCCCAUUGGAUUUUAGUAAUGCCCCUUUGAGGAUUUUGCAAUACAUUCUCCUUAUGACGGAUGAUAUCUUCUAUCUCGCAUAAAUCUGAUAUUGGGAGAGAGGAAGAAAGAGACCUUUGAGGCAGUGGAAUUUCCUAAUGCAGAAAAGAAAGGAACAUUGAUGGAAGCUUAACUCUAGCACUCUAUGAUGAUGGGUCUCCAAAAUGGAUCACCGUUUGUUCCUUCAAGAUAUGAUGUCUCGUCAAAGGUACUUAUUUUGUUUUUCUAGAACCAUUUGAAAAUCUAUGAUGAGUUUUAUAAAAUUUUGCUGGCCAUUUGUAAAUUUAACCUGUGAAUGGCUGAGGGAGGGUUCAGUGAAUGAAAUUUGUAUUAUGUUUUUGUGUACAGCUCACCAUUUGUAAAUGUAAAUUGUGAAUGAGUGAGGGGGUUAUUUGAAAGGAAUUUUUUUUUAGUUGAUGUUGAAAA